GAGACCUUCAUGCUCAGGCUGAUGCUUCACCCAUUGGUGCCUUGGCUUCGGAAAUCACCCACAUCUCAUCUUCGUACUGAGGCCAUCUGCUCCCGCAGGGAUGGACUUUUGGGAUUUCUUCCAAGUUCUAUGCACUUGAUGCCCUGUGCUCUCAAAGCUCCAUGUGUCAGUGGGUAUCUUUGCUGUGAUAAAGGAUACAGACAAAGGAGAGAGUGACCAAGUCCAUGUCCUCAGGAUCCUGCAGGAACGGAUGAGGUACUCACAUGGGAGCAC
rnacentral:lncRNA from 14 species